UCAUCUGUGCUGGGGCAGGCACCCAACGCAUCUGAGGCUCCCUCCGUGCGCAACAGCAGCAGAUGACAAAUCUGUGCAUGUGUGGAAGCAACCCAAAGCAUCUCCUGGGAGAAAUCUGCGCUGUAAUUAUCUCAAACAAGCUCGUUAGAACUUCCUCACUGUUGCCAGAGGAUUAACCUGAGACCACACACCCACAGCACUGGUACUUAGAGAAGAAAGAGACGAAGUGUGUGAGGCUGGCUGGGGUGGGGUCACCAGGGACAGCCCUCACAAAUUGCCCAGAAGGGAGGGAAGCGAAGUCGGGAGCGCAGUGAAGAGAGGAGGUGUCUGAUGGAGGCUGUGAAUGUCCACGAACCUCGUCCUGAAAACUGCGCCGAGAAGCAGCACAGCCCCGUGGUGACAGUGUCCCUGCAUGAGCAGAUGGAGCUGCUGCCUGUGGUAUCCUGUGACGAGCAGGAGGAUGAGGCCAUGGCUGUCCCUGCACCAGGGACUCAUUCGCUCCGUUACCAUUUCCAAUCCAGGCUCCCCAUGAAUGACUGAGAGGUGUUCCUGCCCGUGGUGGGGAGGUUGGAGUAGCUGAUCUCUGAAGUUCCUUCCAACCUAAGCCAUUCUAUGAUUCAGUGAGACACAGCUAACAACAUCAGAUGGGACCCUGGUGAUGCCCAGGAGCUCUGGCUCCACCAGUGUUCGUCACUGAUGAACCCAUGGGAUGAGUGACAAAUUGACCCUUGCCCCCUUGCCAGGGGUGUUGCUGGCCAGGGGUGUUGCCUGCUUUCCUGCCUGCCAUGGGGAGGACACCAGGAGCUGUUUUCAGCAGUAGCUGUGAGCUACAGGAGGUCCAAGCCCUGUUGGAGACAUCCCUGGAUCUGCACCACUGCCCAGCAGCAGCAUUGGCCUGAUCCAGACAUCCGUGAGGGCUCUGCUGACUCCAGUGAUAGAGACAGACCUGUGGGACUGGCAGGUGGAUCAGGAGUGGCCUCGGAUGGGUUUGGACCUGCAGUCAGGUGGUUUCCCAGCUCUGAUCUCCACAGCUCCACAGAGGGAAAGCCCCAGUGUGGCUCCUGGCUACUCCUCAUCCCUCGAAGGCGGGCAGAACCCAGCACCCAUGGUCUCCUCACCACCCCCAGGGUUGGCAUGCAGCACCCAGGGCCUGCUCCUGAUCCUGAGCUGGUUUCAUGGGCGUUGCCUCACAUGCAGUGUUCCCAAGGAUGGGAGGGUUCCACAGGAGAACUGGCUCCACGUGGGAUCUCUGGAGAUCCCUGGCCCCCAAAGCUGGGGCAGCAGCAGCUGUGCUGGGGAUGUCCCACCCCAGGAGAAUCUGCUAGUUGACCAAGAACAGCCCAAGGAUGCUGCCACAAGCCAUGCCAAGCUAGGCCAGCCUAAGAUGUGUCAUCUGAGAGGAUGGAGAUGGUGAAGGUGGCGAGAUGUGUGUAUGGUCCACAGGGUCCAUGUGAGAGAUGUCACAGCCCCAUGUUUAGCAGGAGCUCUGCUCCCCACUGUCCUGGCACUGGCAGAGGAGAAGAGUGAUUUGAAUGUAAAUGAGUUGCCAGCACAGUUCUGUUUUCCUGCGGAUAACUUCAGCCUUGUCACAGAGAACAAAACCCUCAGAAGUGAACUUGUCACUUCAAUCUCUUCAGCUAAUGAUGCUCUGAGGGUUCAGACAGCUGGGUGCUCUCUGCAGUGCUUCUCCCCUAAGGUGCACUGCUCCCAUCUUCCAAGCACAAGCAGGCUCUGCACCAGGGGCACCAAAGUCUGUCCCCUCCUGCUCACAUUUGUGCUAGAGCUCAUCAUCCCUCUUGGGUUCACCAGGACACAAGGCCAGUGAUGGCCAUGGCUAACGCUGGUGGGCACCUUGCCCUGUGAGCCAGCUGGAUCUCACAGAGAGGAGCUGGGAAAGCAAAUUGUGGGUAUUUAGCUGGGUCUGGAGAGCGCUGUCUGAAGCUGCUGGUGUCAGUGGGUGUGAUCCACAGCCCAAGAUGAGAAGCAGCCCAGGAGUCUGCGGGAGCAGGUCCCGAAGCCUGCCACCGGGGCUGGGUUCUGUGCUGCCACGCCUGCGCAUCUGCUGGUGGAGCGAUGGCACUUACACCAUCUGCCAGCUGCCACCCCUUUGAUGUGCCACCGCACCGGGGCUUGCGUCACUCCUGAGCUCUGCUUCCUCUGAUCCGGCGCUGUGCUGCUGGGCUAAGAUGGGAAACUGCAAAACGGCUGCACGGUGGCCCAGCAGCAGCUUCUGUCCUGGAGAAACUCUUCGCUGCCUCUCUCCCCGUGGACCCUCACAGAUGUCUGUCCCUGCUGCAGAGAAAAUUGCAAACUCAGGCUGAUGACCAACUUCAUGGGUGUAGGGAUGGUGGCCAGGCACCAACAGGAAAACUCUGUGAGAAGAGGACUCCCAGACUUUCAGCCUCCUGGCUGACCACGACACUUAGCAGGUUGCUGCCUCAUUUCGUAAAACCAGGGAAACUGGAUCCUGAUGUUGGUCGUGGAGGUCCUUUGGCUGUCCCCUGCCUCGCUCACCCAUCACAAGUGCAGAGGAGAGCUUGCCAGCAACCCAGACGGACUUGAACGUAGAGGAGCACACACCCAUCACAGCCCUCUGCAAAGCCACCCAUCACUGCACCCUGCCCUGGCCCAAGUACUCCAGUGCACCCUGUUAGAGGCUUCAUCCUUCGUCCCAUCACAAAGGUAUUUUUGCUUUAAGCUUGCUGUAGGGAAGCUGACAUAGCCCUCACCCCGUGACCCCGAGAUCUAGCUCAGGCCACUGCCCCACAGAAAGGGAUGAGUGGCUGGGUGUCCUGGUGUGGGACACCAGCUCUUCCUCAUGGCUACAGCCACUGCCAACCUUCCUGCCUCUGAGCUCUGGAAUCUGUUGGUGGUGCACACAUCUUUUGGGGUGUGUGAUGUCAGGAAAUCUAUACCCAUGUGAUCUCAAUCCCUCUUUGUGGUAGAUACA